GUAGAAAUUUUAUAAGUGAAUAGGGCUCCUCUCUUUCUCCACCUCUGUGACGUCUCUAUCUCUCUCACCCUCCCAUUUUCUUCUCCGGCGGUUUCACCGAUUCUCGGCGAUUCUCGCCGCCUCGGGCACCGCGACUGGCGUGGUGUUCUUUUCCUCUAUCCCUUUCUACUUAUUCCCCUAAACCUGAAGACUCUAAAAUCUAGGGUUUCAUUUUUUUCCUCUAUCGAUUAUGUUCCGUUCGGCGAGAAUCACCGCCGCGCCUUCGUCACUGGCUGAGUCGUCGCGCCUCCGUCACCGCCUCUACGCUUCUAGUGAUUUCGUUUGGAUCUCUGAAGUUUAUGGAAGGAGGUUGAUGGAACUUAUUGGUUUCGAGCUCGGUGGUACAUUAUUCCGGAGGAGACUUCUGGGGGGAGAGAACCUCAUAAUUUGAGGAGGGAGCCCUAUAGGACCGAUGAUAUUUCUGAUGUUGAGAUGGAGCCAAUCAUUAGGCAUUGUUCUGUUAUGAGCCCAAAGGACUUUGCUAAUGCUGGCAGUGAGGGAGAUGAUGUGUUUCUCUUUGGUGUCUGGCAAUAUAUUGUUGGCUAUUCUGUGAGUGACAACUUUUCUGGGAUUUAAUUUUGCUGCAGGUUGAAUUAGCUGGGAAUUUGUGAUAUUUAUCUGCAAUUAUGAUAUGAUAUUUCGUAGGCAUCCGAACUGGAAGUUUUGGGUUGCUAUGUUCUAAAUUGUUAUUAAUUUAGAAAGUUAAGAUAAGAAAGAUAAGAAACAUCUCCUGCAGGUUUUCAGUUUCAUGGUAGUGCAUAACUUCUUUGAGAAUUGGCCUGAAAAACUUCUGGAAUUCCCUAAAGUUAUUGUCAAAGAAUUUGGUGAUGAAAGUGAGAUUGUAAAACAGAAACCCGAUGUGAUUAAAGGUGAUACUUCUAGUGUCCUUGCUACUCUAGAAAAUUGUAAUGAUAGUAGCUGUAGAGUCGAAGCUGAUGAUGGUCUAGAUAAAGAUGAUGAUGCUUGUACUGCAAAAUAUCCAGAUGGUGAAGAUGUAGGUGAAAGACCUUAACAAGUUGAGGAAAUCACUAGCUCAAAAAGUUUAUCUUUUAUACAUGUUGCCAGUAUCUUUAUCAUAUGUAUAUAUUAAUAUGGUGUCGCAAAUUUUCUUAUAAUUAGAAUGUUUUUGUGUGCACCCAGAGUGUACAAGUGUCGAUAGUUUUCUCCUGCUCCAAUAUGCUUCUGAGAUUGCUUUUGUUCAUUCCAAUAAUCUGACUGUUUGGUGUAACC